rnacentral:rRNA from 1 species
CAAGACAUGAAGUUAGGUCAGCAAACCCGCUGAAUUUAAGCAUCUGUCG